rnacentral:tRNA from 13 species
GCGCGCGGGGUUCAGACCUGUCGGACGUCGACGCUGUCGGAGGAGGUUUGACUCCAGCGC